CUUCCCCUCUGUAAGAAAUCAAUAAAAUAUAUAUAUAUUUAAAAAAAAAUAAACUGAAUAAAUCAUAGCACAAUGUUUGAUAAACUUUGCCGUAAGGACAUCCUGCAACGAUGGCAAAUGAUUUUUUCCUCAUUCUUUGCCAGCAUUAAUGACAUAAUUCAAGUUCUAUAA